rnacentral:rRNA from 1 species
AGCUCCAAUAGCGUAUAUUAAAGUUGUUGCAGUUAAAAAGCUCGUAGUUGAAUUUCUAGUCAGUUAAUUUGGAGGUCUCCUUCACUUUAGCUGGCUAUUCGACACUGAACCAUGUCGGUUAUUAAGUUAACCCCAUGGAGAAUUGUCAUUUUACUUUGAAAAAUUAGAGUGUUUCAGGCAGGCAAUUGCCCGGAUAUCUUAGCAUGGAAUAAUGGAAUAGGACUUUGGUUCAUUUUAUUGGUUAUUGAAUCAGAGUAAUGAUUAAUAGGGACAGUUGGGGGCAUUAGUAUUUAAUUGUCAGAGGUGAAAUUCUUGGAUUUAUU